rnacentral:rRNA from 1 species
AGCGAACGCUGGCGGCAGGCCUAACACAUGCCAGUCGAACGAACUCUUCGGAGUUAGUGGCGGACGGGUGAGUAACACGUGGGAACGUGCCUUUUGGUUCGGAAUAACUCAGGGAAACUUGUGCUAAUACCGAAUGUGCCCUUCGGGGGAAAGAUUUAUCGCCAUUAGAGCGGCCGGCGUCUGAUUAGCUAGUUGGUGAGGUAACGGCUCACCAAGGCGACGAUCAGUAGCUGGUCUGAGAGGAUGACCAGCCACACUGGGACUGAGACACGGCCCAGACUCCUACGGGAGGCAGCAGUGGGGAAUCUUGCGCAAUGGGCGAAAGCCUGACGCAGCCAUGCCGCGUGAAUGAUGAAGGUCUUAGGAUUGUAAAAUUCUUUCACCGGGGACGAUAAUGACGGUACCCGGAGAAGAAGCCCCGGCUAACUUCGUG